ACGCUGGCGGCAGGCCUAACACAUGCAAGUCGAGCGGCAGCACGGGUACUUGUACCUGGUGGCGAGCGGCGGACGGGUGAGUAAUGCCUAGGAAUCUGCCUGGUAGUGGGGGAUAACGCUCGGAAACGGACGCUAAUACCGCAUACGUCCUACGGGAGAAAGCAGGGGACCUUCGGGCCUUGCGCUAUCAGAUGAGCCUAGGUCGGAUUAGCUAGUUGGUGGGGUAAUGGCUCACCAAGGCGACGAUCCGUAACUGGUCUGAGAGGAUGAUCAGUCACACUGGAACUGAGACACGGUCCAGACUCCUACGGGAGGCAGCAGUGGGGAAUAUUGGACAAUGGGCGAAAGCCUGAUCCAGCCAUGCCGCGUGUGUGAAGAAGGUCUUCGGAUUGUAAAGCACUUUAAGUUGGGAGGAAGGGCAGUUACCUAAUACGUAUCUGUUUUGACGUUACCGACAGAAUAAGCACCGGCUAACUCUGUGCCAGCAGCCGCGGUAAUACAGAGGGUGCAAGCGUUAAUCGGAAUUACUGGGCGUAAAGCGCGCGUAGGUGGUUUGUUAAGUUGAAUGUGAAAUCCCCGGGCUCAACCUGGGAACUGCAUGCAAAACUGGCAAGCUAGAGUAUGGUAGAGGGUGGUGGAAUUUCCUGUGUAGCGGUGAAAUGCGUAGAUAUAGGAAGGAACACCAGUGGCGAAGGCGACCACCUGGACUGAUACUGACACUGAGGUGCGAAAGCGUGGGGAGCAAAC
rnacentral:rRNA from 1 species